AUAGUGGUCUACCAGAGAGGGCACAUGUGCCUCAAUUGGCCUAUAGCAUAGUGGCUCAUUAUCCUUCCACCGCUGGUGGCGGGCGGUACUCGCUGCUCUGUGAAGCCAGCCUCACGCAAUGUCCGCCACUUUAGGUGUUGGGAUGCAAAGGCUUUCGCCAAGGCAUCCGAAACCCACUACACAACUUGGAAUGGGUGGUCCACAAUUUGUAGCACUAGACCCAUACACAUGCACCACAAUUGAUAUCCACACUACCUUAUUGCCCCCGCUCGGGUUACAAGCAAUCGCUACUUGCUCAGCGAGUGAGGGGGUUCAGGACUACCUAUUUAAGGUGGUGUUGUACUCUAUGAGCCGGCGAUGUGGUAUUUACCAACUACAAAUAGUGUCAUGCAUGUGACUUGCUAGUUGACAAAGUCUGUUGUCGAGCUAGAUGUAGGCUAUGGAUGAAGCACAUUACGAUAUAGUAGGCCUAUUUUGUUUUUUGUUGUUUUUGGGCCACUAUGGACUUUAUGUUGAUGUUGUGAAAUUUUUUCUUGUGUUUCCUCUUCCUACGAUGUCGAAAGUGGGUGCGUCAGAGAAGAAAGAAAGUGUGGGUUGCAUUGAUUUUACGUCAUACCAUUGAGAACACUAAUCAGAACCAGAAGCAACAAUAUUUCAUACAUAUACAACACUUGUAAUCCAUAUAAACAACUUUCCUUUAAAAUAUCAUAUAAACCACAUGAUUUAUAUCCUGGGUCGGUUAUCUCCACAAAGGGCAAGAAAACGCUCCAAGUUUGUAGUAUAGAACUAAAAGUGUCGACUCUCACGAUUUCUUCCCGACAUAUGCAAACUAGACAAUAAUCACAUAAAAUAAAGAAAUAUGUGUUAACACAAACUUAUAGCAUGUAUUUCAACAUAUAGAUUUUUUAUUAUUAUGGUAGAUUAUAUAAUAUAGGGGUUCCCGAAGAAAUACAUAAAAAACAAGAGCAUUAAAAUUUCCUUUUCAGAUCUGGCUAACUGGUAAAGGGAGUUGGAGUAUCUGAGUUUCCAAAUUUGGGACGUCGCUCUAUAGAAGGAAUAUAAAUACAUUGGAAAAAAAUUCUACAAGGAAAGGUUUAAUACAAGUAGGGCUAAGAAAAACUCAAUGAGGCUUUGGUCGCAUGGUCACAAGACUUGAGACAAGAAACACGAAGACACCAAGGUAAUUAGUAUGAGAGUUUUCCAAAUUUGGUGUCUUGAUGUAGAAAAAAUAAAUAUAUGACAAACAUGUAUUUUCGCAAGGCAUGGUAAAAUAAGUGGGAGUGAGCAAUAAAUUUCAUCCUAGAUUUAGAAGGAACAAAUAUAUCACUAAAUACAUUUUUUCACAAUGCCAAGUUAACCAGGCGGGACCGAGAAACAAUUCUAGCAAGGCUAGGUUGUACUAGUCCGAAACUACGUACAACAAAGGAAAAAUGAAGAAAAUGAUGGUCUACCAAAUAUGGCGCAUGAGCCUUAAGGUGCACCUAGAGGGAAGUAGAAGAAAUAAAUAUAUAAUAGGAUAUGUUUUUCGCAAUGCAAGGUAAAAUGUAGAUGUGCUCUAACUGGGCUUAGAUUGCAGCGAUACAUUAUGCAUCCACAAGGCUUGGUUGCACAUGGAAAAAGAUAGAGAGAGAAAUGUAGACGUAGGACCAGGAGAAAAACAUUCAAUGAUACAUUAUUGCACGGACAUAGAACUAGAUAUAAGACAAGAGUUAAAGAAACAUAAAGGAACUAAAUUUUCUUUUGCAUACUAAGCAUGAAUGGAGUUGUAGUAUCUGAUAUAAAAAAUUAAUUUAUUCCAAGAUGCAGAACAAAAUUGUGAUACUCGUAAUGGUUACAUAGGAACAAAAGUAGAUAAGAAAAAUAGCAAAACGAUAGUAGUCUACCAGAGAGGGCACAUGUGCCUCAAUUGGCCUAUAGCAUAGCGGCUCAUUAUCCUUCCACCGCUGGUGGCGUGCGGUACUCGCUGCUCUGUGAAGCCAGCCUCACGCAAUGUCUGCCACUUUAGGUGUUGGGAUGCAAAGGCUUUCGCCAAGGCACCCGAAACCCACUACACAACUUGGAAUGGGUGGUCCACAGUUUGUAGCACUAGACCUAGGCACAUGCACCACAAUUGACAUCCACACUACCUUAUUGCCCCCGCUCGGGUUACAAGCAAUCGCUACAUGCUCAGCGAGUGAGGGGGUUCAGGACUACCUAUUUAAGAUGGUGUUGUACUCUAUGAGCCGGCGGUGUGGUAUUUACCAACUACAAAUAGUGUCAUGCAUGUGACUUGCUAGUUGACAAAGUCUGUUGUCGAGCUAGAUAUGGGCUAUGGCUGAAGCACAUUAGGAUAUAGUAGGCCUAUUUUUGUUUUUGUUGUUUUUGGGCCACUAUGGACUUUAUGUUGGUGUUGUAAAAUUUUUUCUUGUGUUUCCUCUUCCUAUGAAGUGGAAAGUGGCUGCGUCAUAGAAGAAAGAAAGAGUGGCAAGCAUUGAUUUUACGUCAUCCCAUUGAGACCAGUAACCAAAAGCAGAAGCAACAAUAUUUCAUACAUAUACAACAAUUGUAAUCCAUAUAAACAACUUUCCUUUAAAAUAUAAUAUAAACCACAUGCUUUAUAUCCUGGGUCGGAUAUCCCCAUAAUAGGAUAUGUUUUUUGCAAUGCAAGGUAAAGUGUAGAUGUGCUCUAACUGGGCUUAGAUUGCAGCGACACGUUAUGCAUCCACAAGGCUUGGUUGCACAUGGAAAAAGAUAGAGAGAGAAAUGUAGACACAGGACGAGGAGAAAAACAUUCAACGAGACGUGAUUGCACGGAUAUAGAACUAGAUAUAAGACAAGAGUUAAAUACAAAUAAAUGAACUAAAUUUUCUUUUGCACACUAAGCUUGAAUGGAGUUGUAGUAUCUCAUAUCAAAAUUUAAUUUAUUCCAAGAUACAGAACAAAAAUGUGAUACUCCUAAUGGUUACAUAGGAACAAAAGUAGAUAAGAAAAUUAGCAAAAAGAUAGUGGUCUACCAGAGAGGGCACAUGUGCCUCAAUUGGCCUAUAGCAUAGCGGCUCAUUAUCCUUCCACCGCUGGUGGCGGGCGGUACUCGCUGCUCUGUGAAGCCAGCCUCACGCAGUGUCCGCCACUUUAGGUGUUGGGAUGCAAAGGCUUUCGCCAACGCACCCGAAACCCACUACACAAGUUGGAAUGGGUGGUCCACAGUUUGUAGCACUAGACCCAGGCACAUGCACCACAAUUGACAUCCACACUACCUUAUUGCCCCCGCUCGGGUUACAAGCAAUCGCUACUUGCUCAGCGAGUGAGGGGGUUCAGGACUACCUAUUUAUGGUGGUGUUGUACUCUAUGAGCCGGCGGUGUGGUAUUUACCAACUACAAAUAGUGUCAUGCAUGUGACUUGCUAGUUGACAAAGUCUGUUGUCGAGCUAGAUGUGGGCUAUGGAUGAAGCACAUUACGAUAUAGUAGGCCUAUUUUGUUUUUUGUUGUUUUUGGGCCAAUAUGGACUUUAUGUUGAUGUUGUGAAAUUUUUUCUUGUGUUUUCUCUUCCUACGAUGUGGAAAGUGGGUGCGUCAGAGAAGAAAGAAAGAGUGGCUAGAAUUGAUUUUACGUCAUACCAUUGAGAACACUACUCAGAAGCAGAAGCAACAAUAUUUCAUACAUAUACAACACUUGUAAUCCAUAUAAACAACUUUCCUUUAAAAUAUAAUAUAAACCACAUGAUUUAUAUCCUGGGUCGGCUAUCUCCACAAAGGGCAAGAAAACGCUCCUAAGUUUGUAGUAUAGAACUAAGAGUAUCGACUCUCACGAUUUCUUCCCGACAUAUGCAAACUAGACAGUAAUAACAUAAAAUAAAGAAAUAUGUGUUAACAUGAACUUAUCACAUGUAUUUCAACAUAUAGAUUGUUGAUUAUUAUGGUAGAUUAUAUAAUAUAGGGGUUCCCGAAGAAAUACAUAAAAAACAAGAGCAUUAAAAUUUCCUUUUCAGAUUUGGCUAACUGGUAAAGGGAGUUGGAGUAUCUGAGUUUCCAAAUUUGGGACGUCGCUCUAUAGAAGGAAUAUAAAUACGUUGGAAAAAUUCUACAAGGAAAGGUUUAAUACAAGUAGGGCUAAGAAAAACUCAAUGAGGCUUUGGUCGCAUGGUCACAAGACUUGAGACAAGAAACACAAAGACACCAAAGUAAUUAGUAUGAGAGUUUUCCAAGUUUGGUGUCUUGAUGUAGAAAAAAUAAAUAUAUGACAAACAUGUUUUUUCGCAAGGCAUGGUAAAGUAAGUGGGAGUGAGCAAUAAAUUUCAUCCUAGAUUUAGAAGGAACAAAUAUAUCACUAAAUACGUUUUUUCACAAUGCCAAGUUAACCAGGCGGGACCGAUAAACAAUUCUAGCAAGACUAGGUUGUACUAGCCAGAAACUACAUACAACAAAGGAAAAAUGAAGAAAAUGAUGGUCUACCAGAUAUGGCGCAUGAGCCUUAAGGUGCACCUAGAGGGAAGUAGAAGAAAUAAAUAUAUAAUAGGAUAUGUUUUUCGCAAUGCAAGGUAAAGUGUAGAUGUGCUCUAACUGGGCUAAGAUUGCAGCGAUACAUUAUGCAUCCACAAGGUUGGCACAUGGAAAAAGAUAGAGAGAGAAAUGUAGACGUAGGACCAGGAGAAGAACAUUCAAUGAGACAUGAUUGCACGGACAUAGAACUAGAUAUAAGACAAGAGUUAAAGAAAAAUAAAGGAACUAAAUUUUCUUUUGCACACUAAGUAUGAAUGGAGUUGUAGUAUCUGAUAUCAAAAAUUAAUUUAUUUCAAGAUGCAGAACAAAAUUGUGAUACUCGUAAUGGUUACAUAGGAACAAAAGUAGAUAAGAAAAAUAGCAAAAAGAUAGUGGUCUACCAGAGAGGGCACAUGUGCCUCAAUUGGCCUAUAGCAUAGCGGCUCAUUAUCCUUCCACCGCUGGUGGCGGGCGAUACACGCUGCUCUAUGAAGCCAGCCUCACGAAAUGUCCGCCACUUUAGGUCUUGGGAUGCAAAGGCUUUCGCCAAGGCACCCGAAACCCACUACACAACUUGGAAUGGGUGGUCCACAGUUUGUAGCACUAGACCCAGGCACAUGCACCACAAUUGACAUCCACACUACCUUAUUGCCCCCGCUCGGGUUACAAGCAAUCGCUACUUGCUCAGCGAGUGAGGGGGUUCAGGACUAUCUAUUUAAGGUGGUGUUGUACUCUAUGAGCCGGCGGUGUGGUAUUUACCAACAACAAAUAGUAUCAUGCAUGUGAUUUGCUAGUUGACAAAGUCUGUUGUCGAGCUAGAUAUGGGCCAUGGAUGAAGAACAUUAGGAUAUAGUAGGCCUAUUUUGUUUUUUGUUGUUUUUGGGCCACUAUGGACUUUAUGUUGAUGUUGUGAAAUUUUUUCUUGUGUUCCCUCUUCCUAUGAAGUGGAAAGUGGCUGCGUCAGAGAAGAAAGAAAGAGUGGUAAGCAUUGAUUUUACAUCAUCCCAUUGAGAACAGUAAUCAAAAGCAGAAGCAACAAUAUUUCAUACAUAUACAACAAUUGUAAUCCAUAUAAACAACUUUCCUUUAAAAUAUAAUAUAAACCACAUGCUUUAUAUCCUAGGUCAGAUAUCCCCAUAAUAGGAUAUGUUUUUUGCAAUGCAAGGUAAAGUGUAGAUGUGCUCUAACUGGGUUUAGAUUGCAGCGACACGUUAUGCAUCCACAAGGCUUGGUUGCACAUGGAAAAAGAUAGAGAGAGAAAUGUAUACACUGGACCGGGAGAAAAACAUUCAACGAGACGUGAUUGCACGGAUAUAGAACUAGAUAUAAGACAAGAGUUAAAGAAAAAUAAAUGAACUAAGUUUUCUUUUGCACACUAAGCUUGAAUGGAGUUAUAGUAUCUCAGAUCCCAAAUUUAAUUUAUUCCAAGAUGCAGAACAAAUUUGUGAUACUCGUAAUGGUCACAAAGGAACAAAAGUAGAUAAGAAAAAUAACAAAAAUAUAGUGGUCUACCAGAGAGGGCACAUGUGCCUCAAUUGGCCUAGAGCAUAGCGGCUCAUUAUCCUUCCACCGCUGGUGGUGGGCGGUACUCGCUGCUCUGUGAAGCCAGCCUCACGCAAUGUCCGCCACUUUAGGUGUGUGGAUGCAAAAGCUUUUGCCAAGGCACCCUAAACCCACUACACAACUUGGAAUGGGUGGUCCACAGUUUGUAGCACUAGACCCAGGCACAUGCACCAUAAUUGAUAUCCACACUACCUUAUUGCCCCCGCUCGGGUUACAAGCAAUCGCUACUUGCUCAGCGAGUGAGGGGGUUCAGGACUACCUAUUUAAGGUGGUGUUGUACUCUAUGAGCCGGCGGUGCGGUAUUUACCAACUACAAAUAGUGUCAUGCAUGUGACUUGCUAGUUGACAAAGUAUGUUGUCGAGCUAGAUGUGGGCUAUGGAUGAAGCACAUUAGGAUAUAGUAGGCCUAUUUUGUUUUUUGUUGUUUUUGGGCCACUAUGGACUUUAUGUAGAUGUUGUGAAAUUUUUUCUUGUGUUUCGUCUUCCUACGACGUGGAAAGUGGGUGCGUCAGAGAAGAAAGAAAGAGUGGCUAGAAUUGAUUUUACGUCAUAUCAUUGAGAACACUAAUCAGAAGCAGAAGCAACAAUAUUUCAUACAUAUACAACACUUGUAAUCCAUAUAAACAAUUUUCCUUUAAAAUAUAAUAUAAACCACAUGAUUUAUAUCCUGGGUCGGCUAUCUCCACAAAGGGCAAGAAAAUGCUCCUAGGUUUGUAGUAUAGAACUAAGAGUAUCGACUCUCACGAUUUCUUCCCGACAUAUGCAAACUAGACAGUAAUCACAUAAAAUAAAGAAAUGUGUGUUAACACGAACUUAUCACAUGUAUUUCAACAUAUAGAUUGUUGAUUAUUAUGGUAGAUUAUAUAAUAUAGGGGUUCCCAAAGAAAUACAUAAAAAACAAGAGCAUUAAAAUUUCAUUUUCAGAUUUGGCUAACUGGUAAAGGGAGUUGGAGUAUCUGAGUUUCCAAAUUUGGGACGUCGCUCUAUAGAAGGAAUAUAAAUACAUUGGAAAAAAUUCUACAAGGAAAGGUUUAAUACAAGUAGGGCUAAGAAAAACUCAAUGAGGCUUUGGUCGCAUGGUCACAAGAGUUGAGACAAUAAACACGAAGACACUAAGGUAAUUAGUAUGAGAGUUUUCCAAAUUUGGUGUCUUGAUGUAGAAAAAAUAAAUAUAUGACAAACAUGUUUUUUUGCAAGGCAUGGUAAAAUAAGUGGGAGUGAGCAAUAAAUUUCAUCCUAGAUUUAGAAGGAAUAAAUAUAUCACUAAAUACAUUUUUUCACAAUGCCAAGUUAACCAGGCGGAACCGAGAAACAAUUCUAGCAAGGCUAGGUUGUACUAGCCCGAAACUACAUACAACAGAGGAAAAAUGAAGAAAAUGAUGGUAUACCAAAUAUGGCGCAUGAGCCUUAAGGUGCACCUAGAAGGAAGUAGAAGAAAUAAAUAUAUAAUAUGAUAUGUUUUUCGCAAUGCAAGGUAUUGUGUAGAUGUGCUCUAACUGGGCUUAGAUUGCAGCGAUACAUUAUGCAUCCACAAGGCUUGGUUGCACAUGGAAAAAGAUAGCGAGAGAAAUGUAGACGUAGGACCAGGAGAAAAACAUUCAAUGAGACGUGAUUGCAUGGACAUAGAACUAGAUAUAAGACAAGAGUUAAAGAAAAAUAAAGGAACUAAAUUUUCUUUUGCACAUUAAGCAUGAAUGGAGUUGUAGUAUCUAAGAUCAAAAAUUAAUUUAUUCCAAGAUGCAGAACAAAAUUGUGAUACUCGUAAUGGUUACAUAGGAACAAAAGUAGAUAAGAAAAAUAGCAAAAAGAUAGUGGUCUACCAGGGAGGGCACAUGUGCCUCAAUUGGCCUAUAGCAUAGUGGCUCAUUAUCCUUCCACCGCUGGUGGCGGGCGGUACUCGCUGCUCUGUGAAGCCAGCCUCACGCAAUGUCCGCCACUUUAGGUGUUAGGAUGCAAAGGCUUUACCCAAGGCACCCAAAACCCACUACAGAACUUGGAAUGGGUGGUCCACAGUUUGUAGCACUAGACCCAGGCACAUGCUCCUCAAUUGACAUCCACACUAGCUUAUUGCCCCGCUCGGGUUACAAGCAAUCACUACUUGCUCACGAGUGAGGGGGUUCAGGACUGCCUAUUUUAGGUGGUGUUGUACACUAUGAACCGACGGUGUGGUAUUUACCAACAAUAAAUAGUUUCAUGCAUGUGAGUUGCUAGUUGGCAAAGUCUAUUGUCAAGCUAGCUAUGGAAUAUGGCUAAUGGACAUGAGGGUAGAAUGGGCCUAUUCUGUAUUUUGUUGUUUUUGGGCCAUUAUGGACUUUAUGUUGAUGUUCUGAAAAACUUUCAUAUGUUUCCUCUUGCCUCUGAUGUGAAAGUGGGCGCGUCAGAGACGAAAGGAAGAGUGGCUAGCAGAGAUUUUACAUCAUCCCCUUGAGAACAAUAAUCAAAGCAGAAGCAAUAAUAUUUCAUACGUACACAACACUUGUAAUCCAUAUAAACAGCUUUCCUUCAAAAAAUAAUGUAAACCACAUGAUGUAUAUCUUGGACAGCUCAUCUCCAUAGAGGGCAAGGAAACGCUCCUAAGUUUGUAGUAUAGAACUGGGGGGUGUUUGGGAUGACUCUAGAUUCUAGCUCCUGCGUGGAGAUGUAGUUUAUAAUAUCUAUUUAAAUAGUUUUAAAAAUAUUUUUAGUCUAAAUAAUAAAUGAAAUAGCCUAUUUACAUGUCUUCUAAAGGCUUACAGCUCUAGCUCCAUGAUUUUCUGGAGCACCUAGCAUGAAUGGAGUUGUAGUAUCUGAGAUCCCAAAUUUAAUUUGUUUCAAGAUGCAGAAGAAAUUGCAACACUCGUAAUGGUUACAUAGGGACAAAAGUAGAUAAGAAAAAUAGCAAAAAGAUAGUGGUUUACCAGAGAGGGCACUUGUGCCCAAAUUGGCCUAGAGCAUAGCGACUCAUUAUCCUUCCACCGUUGGUGGCGGGCGGUACUCUCUGCUCUGUGAGGCCAGCCUCACGCAAUGUCCACCACUUUAGGUGUUGGGAUAUAAAGGCUUUCGCCAAGACACCCGAAACCCACUACACAACUUGGAAUGGGUGGUCCACAGUUUGUAGCACUAGACCCAGGCACACGCUCCACAAUUGACAUCCACACUACCUUAUUGCCCCCGCUCGGGUUACAAGCAAU
rnacentral:lncRNA from 1 species